AUACGGAGGAUCCGAGCGUUAUCCGGAUUUAUUGGGUUUAAAGGGUGCGCAGGCGGCCAUUUAAGUCAGCGGUUAAAUCGUGGGGCUCAACCCCAUUCUGCCGUUGAUACUGGGUGGCUUGAUUGCGGUCGAGGUUGGCGGAAUUCGUUGUGUAGCGGUGAAAUGCAUAGAUAUGACGAAGAACACCGAUUGCGUAGGCAGCUGACCAGACCGCAAAUGACGCUCAUGCACGAAAGUGCGGGGAUCGAACAGGAUUAGAUACCCUGGUAGUCCGCACAGUAAACGUUGAAUACUUGUUUUCGGCGAUAUAAUGUCGGAGGCAAAGCGAAAGCGAUAAGUAUUCCACCUGGGGAGUACGCCGGCAACGGUGAAACUCAAAUGAAUUGACGGGG
rnacentral:rRNA from 1 species